rnacentral:rRNA from 1 species
UACGUAGGGUCCGAGCGUUGUCCGGAAUUACUGGGCGUAAAGAGCUCGUAGGUGGUUUGUCGCGUUGUUCGUGAAAACUCACAGCUUAACUGUGGGCGUGCGGGCGAUACGGGCAGACUGGAGUACUGCAGGGGAGACUGGAAUUCCUGGUGUAGCGGUGGAAUGCGCAGAUAUCAGGAGGAACACCGGUGGCGAAGGCGGGUCUCUGGGCAGUAACUGACGCUCAGGAGCGAAAGCGUGGGGAGCGAUCCGG